UACAGACCUGAAGGAAAAAGGGAUGUUGGCACAGAGGGAAGGUUCCUAUCCCACCUCGCUUCAGCAGCCUGGAGGAUGGGUGGCAGGGUAAGAAACGUGACCCAUCUGUAAGUGGGGGCUUUUUUCCAGAAGGAAUUUCCAGCCCCACCUUGGAAUUCUCAGUUCAAAGGAAGCAGCAGGACCUCAACGCCAGAGAGAAAGCCGUUCAAAGUUCCACCUUGCGGGCACUGCUAGCCUGGGGCUUGGUCCCAGAGUGGAGGGGCAGAAAGCACUUGGAUGGACAUCUUCAAAAGCAAAGCGUGUAACAUCAAGGACCAGCCACAGAAACAGCCGUGCUGCAUUCUAUUGUCUACCAUCCCCACUAGAACUUAAGAACUCUGAGUGUAGGGAUCUUGGCUACCUUGUCCUCUGCAGUGUACCCAGCCCUGGGACUGUGCUGGGCACUUGGACAGGAAACUGAGGAUCAGGUCCAGGCUCCGCAGAAGCCAUAGAGUUAAUGAGUGCCAGAGUCAAAGCCAAAACCAGAGUCAUCGUGGUCAUAAAGGCCACAAAGCUCUUUCUGCCGGUGAAGACAGCCCCAUACCGUGAAUGGAAAAGACACUGGACAGGGUCGGAGACUGGCUUCCAUUGCAGAGCCCUCAACUCAUGCCCCUUGUGAAAUGCUCUAGGUUUCUGUCUCCUCAUUGCCCUGCUGGCCAGUGGGGACCAAAAAGAGCAGUGCUACCUACCUCCAGGGCUAUGGUGAGGGUCAAAUGGGUCAGUGGUUGGCACUCUUCAGGGGCUUAGGGGCUUAUAUGUGAUCAUGUGGGCUUUGUGCAAGAUGGAAUAUUAAUAAACAUAUGGAAGUGGAUGCCAACAGAAAA